AGCUUGCUCUUAUGAGUUAGCGGCGGACGGGUGAGUAACACGUGGGUAACCUGCCCAUAAGACUGGGAUAACUCCGGGAAACCGGGGCUAAUACCGGAUAACAUUUUGAACCGCAUGGUUCGAAAUUGAAAGGCGGCUUCGGCUGUCACUUAUGGAUGGACCCGCGUCGCAUUAGCUAGUUGGUGAGGUAACGGCUCACCAAGGCAACGAUGCGUAGCCGACCUGAGAGGGUGAUCGGCCACACUGGGACUGAGACACGGCCCAGACUCCUACGGGAGGCAGCAGUAGGGAAUCUUCCGCAAUGGACGAAAGUCUGACGGAGCAACGCCGCGUGAGUGAUGAAGGCUUUCGGGUCGUAAAACUCUGUUGUUAGGGAAGAACAAGUGCUAGUUGAAUAAGCUGGCACCUUGACGGUACCUAACCAGAAAGCCACGGCUAACUACGUGCCAGCAGCCGCGGUAAUACGUAGGUGGCAAGCGUUAUCCGGAAUUAUUGGGCGUAAAGCGCGCGCAGGUGGUUUCUUAAGUCUGAUGUGAAAGCCCACGGCUCA
rnacentral:rRNA from 1 species